UUCCCAUCCUGAUUAGUACCUUUUGCUAAGAUGAAGUGUAAUAUCUAUUCUUAUCAGUUUAAUAGUCUACACGAUAUUAAAUUAUUAUUUUUUAUAGGGAAGGAUCUGUAUAUGUAGCUUGCUGCAUGUGUUCUUUGUGUCACCAUAGUGUUGCACUACUGCUAGGGCUUGGCGCACCCCAA
rnacentral:snRNA from 1 species